rnacentral:rRNA from 1 species
CCCUUAGAUGUCCUGGGCCGCACGCGCGUUACACUGACAGAUGCAUCAAGCGGUUCACCUUGGCCGACAGGCCCGGGUAAUCUUUGUAAACUCUGUCGUGCUGGGGAUAGAUCAUUGCAAUUAUUGAUCUUCAACGAGGAAUUCCUAGUAAGCGUGAGUCAUCAGCUCGCGUUGAUUACGUCCCUGCCCUUUGUACACACCGCCCGUCGCUGCAACUGAUUGGGUGACCUGGUGAACAUCUUGGACCGGCUUGCCCAUUUUUGGACGAGUUGGAAAAGGACGUAAAUCAGGUACAUCUAGAAAUUGCAAAAGUCGUAACA